UCAGACAUGGUGUACGGUUACACCGCCUCGGUCCUUGCGGACACCGAAAGAAAUCAGUCGGAGGCAGUCCGGGGUUCGACUCCCUGUGUCUGAA